AUUAAACGCUGGCGGCAUGCCUUACACAUGCAAGUCGAACGGCAGCACGGGGGCAACCCUGGUGGCGAGUGGCGAACGGGUGAGUAAAGCAUCGGAACGUGCCCUGGAGUGGGGGGAUAACGUAGCGAAAGUUACGCUAAUACCGCAUAUUCUGUGAGCAGGAAAGCAGGGGAUCGCAAGACCUUGCGCUCUGGGAGCGGCCGAUGUCGGAUUAGCUAGUUGGUGGGGUAAAGGCCUACCAAGGCGACGAUCCGUAGCGGGUCUGAGAGGAUGAUCCGCCACACUGGGACUGAGACACGGUCCAGACUCCUACGGGAGGCAGCAG
rnacentral:rRNA from 1 species